rnacentral:rRNA from 1 species
GAUGAACGCUGGCGGCGUGCCUAAUACAUGCAAGUCGAGCGAACGGACGAGAAGCUUGCUUCUCUGAUGUUAGCGGCGGACGGGUGGGUAACACGUGGAUAACCUACCUAUAAGACUGGGAUAACUUCGGGAAACCGGAGCUAAUACCGGAUAAUAUUUUGAACCGCAUGGUUCAAAAGUGAAAGACGGUCUUGCUGUCACUUAUAGAUGGAUCCGCGCUGCAUUAGCUAGUUGGUAAGGUAACGGCUUACCAAGGCAACGAUGCAUAGCCGACCUGAGAGGGUGAUCGGUCACACUGGAACUGAGACACGGUCCAGACUCCUACGGGAGGCAGCAGUAGGGAAUCUUCCGCAAUGGGCGAAAGCCUGACGGAGCAACGCCGCGUGAGUGAUGAAGGUCUUCGGAUCGUAAAACUCUGUUAUUAGGGAAGAACAUAUGUGUAAGUAACUGUGCACAUCUUGACGGUACCUAAUCAGAAAGCCACGGCUAACUACGUG